rnacentral:rRNA from 1 species
UACGGAGGGAGCUAGCGUUGUUCGGAAUGACUGGGCGUAAAGCGCGCGUAGGCGGAUCAGAAAGUUGGGGGUGAAAUCCCGGGGCUCAACCUCGGAAUGGCCUUCAAAACUCCUGGUCUUGAGUUCGAGAGAGGUGAGUGGAAUUCCGAGUGUAGAGGUGAAAUUCGUAGAUAUUCGGAGGAACACCAGUGGCGAAGGCGGCUCACUGGCUCGACACUGACGCUGAGGUGCGAAAGCGUGGGGAGCAAACAGG